rnacentral:rRNA from 1 species
AAGGCUGAGGCGUGAUGACGAGGCACUACGGUGCUGAAGCAACAAAUGCCCUGCUUCCAGGAAAAGCCUCUAAGCAUCAGGUAACAUCAAAUCGUACCCCAAACCGACACAGGUGGUCAGGUAGAGAAUACCAAGGCGCUUGAGAGAACUCGGGUGAAGGAACUAGGCAAAAUGGUGCCGUAACUUCGGGAGAAGGCACGCUGAUAUGUAGGUGAAGUCCCUCGCGGAUGGAGCUGAAAUCAGUCGAAGAUACCAGCUGGCUGCAACUGUUUAUUAAAAACACAGCACUGUGCAAACACGAAAGUGGACGUAUACGGUGUGACGCCUGCCCGGUGCCGGAAGGUUAAUUGAUGGGGUUAGCGCAAGCGAAGCUCUUGAUCGAAGCCCCGGUAAACGGCGGCCGUAACUAUAACGGUCCUAAGGUAGCGAAAUUCCUUGUCGGGUAAGUUCCGACCUGCACGAAUGGCGUAAUGAUGGCCAGGCUGUCUCCACCCGAGACUCAGUGAAAUUGAACUCGCUGUGAAGAUGCAGUGUACCCGCGGCAAGACGGAAAGACCCCGUGAACCUUUACUAUAGCUUGACACUGAACAUUGAGCCUUGAUGUGUAGGAUAGGUGGGAGGCUUUGAAGUGUGGACGCCAGUCUGCAUGGAGCCGACCUUGAAAUACCACCCUUUAAUGUUUGAUGUUCUAACGUUGACCCGUGAUCCGGGUUGCGGACAGUGUCUGGUGGGUAGUUUGACUGGGGCGGUCUCCUCCUAAAGAGUAACGGAGGAGCACGAAGGUUGGCUAAUCCUGGUCGGACAUCAGGAGGUUAGUGCAAUGGCAUAAGCCAGCUUGACUGCGAGCGUGACGGCGCGAGCAGGUGCGAAAGCAGGUCAUAGUGAUCCGGUGGUUCUGAAUGGAAGGGCCAUCGCUCAACGGAUAAAAGGUACUCCGGGGAUAACAGGCUGAUACCGCCCAAGAGUUCAUAUCGACGGCGGUGUUUGGCACCUCGAUGUCGGCUCAUCACAUCCUGGGGCUGAAGUAGGUCCCAAGGGUAUGGCUGUUCGCCAUUUAAAGUGGUACGCGAGCUGGGUUUAGAACGUCGUGAGACAGUUCGGUCCCUAUCUGCCGUGGGCGCUGGAGAACUGAGGGGGGCUGCUCCUAGUACGAGAGGACCGGAGUGGACGCAUCACUGGUGUUCGGGUUGUCAUGCCAAUGGCACUGCCCGGUAGCUAAAUGCGGAAGAGAUAAGUGCUGAAAGCAUCUAAGCACGAAACUUGCCCCGAGAUGAGUUCUCCCUGACUCCUUGAGAGUCCUGAAGGAACGUUGAAGACGACGACGUUGAUAGGCCGGGUGUGUAAGCGCAGCGAUGCGUUGAGCUAACCGGUACUAAUGAACCGUGAGGCUUAACCUUACAACGCCGAAG